rnacentral:lncRNA from 1 species
UGGAAUCAAAUACAUAUUUGAAACCAUAUUAAGCAUUAAGCAAGCAAAUAAUUUUGCAGCACAGGAAAACACAACAUGCAACCCAAAUUUAGUUGAGGUUUACUUGGAGACGGACACUAAACCAAAGUUUAGAACCAUACUUAACAUGAAAUAUACCAUCAUUGACCAAUUGAUGUCAUAGAUAAUCACACUAAACAAAGUCCACCCAUAACAAUGAAAUUCAUAACCACGGUACAAGAUUUCAUAGUUUGAAUUCUGAUUUGGGAUUCAAAAAUCUCAUUUCUUCCCACUCUUCUUGAGCCCUGAACCUCCAA